rnacentral:rRNA from 1 species
GACGAACGCUGGCGGCGUGCUUAACACAUGCAAGUCGAACGGAAAGGCCCCUUUGGGGGUACUCGAGUGGCGAACGGGUGAGUAACACGUGAGUAACCUGCCCUUGACUUCGGGGUAACUUCAGGAAACUGGGGCUAAUACCGGAUAGGAAUCCUUGCUGCAUGGUGGGGGUUGGAAAGCUUCGGCGGUUUUGGAUGGACUCGCGGCUUAUCAGCUUGUUGGUGGGGUAGUGGCUAACCAAGGCUUUGACGGGUAGCCGGCCUGAGAGGGCGACCGGCCACAUUGGGACUGAGAGACGGCCCAGACUCCGACGGGAGGCAGCAGGGGGGAAUAUUGCACAAUGGGCGGAGGCCGGAUGCAGCAACGCCGCGUGCGGGAUGACGGCCUUCGGGUUGGAAACCGCUUUCAGCAGGGGCGAAGCUUGUGGUGACGGUACCUGCAGAAGAAGCACCGGCUAACUACGUG